rnacentral:rRNA from 1 species
UACGUAGGUGACAAGCGUUAUCCGGAAUUACUGGGCGUAAAGCGCACGCAGGCGGCGCAUUAAGUCUGACGUGAAAUCUCCUGGCUUAACUGGGAGGGGUCGUUGGAGACUGGUGUGCUUGAGGCGAUGAGAGGGGUGUAGAAUUCCCGGUGUAGUGGUGGAAUGCGUAGAUAUCGGGAGGAACACCAGUGGCGAAGGCGGCUACCUGGCCCGAUACUGACGCUGAGGUGCGAAAGCGUGGGGAGCAAACAGG